rnacentral:rRNA from 1 species
AACCUGGUUGAUCCUGCCAGUAGUCAUAUGCUUGUCUCAAAGACUAAGCCAUGCAUGUCUAAGUAUAAAUGCUAUACAAUGAAACUGCGAAUGGCUCAUUAAAACAGUUAUAGUUUAUAUGGUAAUCGAAUUUACAUGGAUAACCGUGGUAAUUCUAGAGCUAAUACAUGCUGUUAAGCCCAACUUAUGGAAGGGCCGUAUUUAUUAGAUAACAGACCAAUAUUCUUCGUGUCUAUUGUGGUGAAUCAUAGUAACUAAUCGGAUCGUAUGGGCUAGUCCCUCGACAAACCCAUUCAAGUUUCCUGCCCCAUCAGCCUUUCGAUGGUAGUGUAUUGGACUACCUGGCUUUCCCGGGUA